rnacentral:rRNA from 1 species
AGAGUUUGAUCCUGGCUCAGGACGAACGCUGGCGGCGUGCCUAAUACAUGCAAGUCGAGCGGAUUUAUCCUUCGGGAUAAGUUAGCGGCGGACGGGUGAGUAACACGUAGGUAACCUGCCUAUAAGAUCGGGAUAACUAUCGGAAACGAUAGCUAAGACCGGAUAACUGGAUUUCUCGCAUGAGAGAAUCAUGAAACACGGAGCAAUCUGUGGCUUAUAGAUGGGCCUGCGGCGCAUUAGCUAGUUGGUAGGGUAAUGGCCUGCCAAGGCGACGAUGCGUAGCCGACCUGAGAGGGUGACCGGCCACACUGGGACUGAGACACGGCCCAGACUCCUACGGGAGGCAGCAGUAGGGAAUCUUCCGCAAUGGACGCAAGUCUGACGGAGCAACGCCGCGUGAGUGAUGAAGGUUUUCGGAUCGUAAAGCUCUGUUGCCCUAGACGAACAGCAAGGAGAGUAACUGCUCUUUGUGUGACGGUAUAGGAGAAGAAAGCCCCGGCUAACUACGUGCCAGCAGCCGCGGUA